AGCAGCCGCGGUAAUUCCAGCUCCAAUAGCGUAUAUUAAAGUUGUUGCAGUUAAAAAGCUCGUAGUUGAAUUUCGGGAUCAAUACGUCGGUCGUGCUUCGGUACGUACUGGCGUCAUUGAUUUCUCCCUUCUGACGAACCAUGAUGUCAUUAACUUGGUGUCUUGGGAAAUCAGGACUGUUACUUUGAAAAAAAUUAGAGUGUUUAAAGCAGGCUCACGCUUGAAUAUAUUAGCAUGGAAUAAUGAAAUAGGACGUUCGAUCCUAUUUUGUUGGUUUUAGGAUCAACGUAAUGAUUAAUAGGGAUAGUUGGGGGCAUUAGUAUUCAAUUGUCAGAGGUGAAAUUCUUGGAUUUAUUGAAGACUAACUACUGCGAAAGCAUUUGCCAAGGAUGUUUUCGUUAAUCAAGAACGAAAGUUAGGGGAUCGAAGACGAUCAGAUACCGUCGUAGUCUUAACCAUAAACUAUGCCGACUAGGGAUCGGAUGAUGUUAAUUUUUAAUUAGACUCAUUCGGCGCCGUU
rnacentral:rRNA from 1 species